UGCCCUAGUANCNGGCGAGUGAACAGGCAAGAGCUCAGAUUUGAAAGGCACUUUUGUGCCGUUGUAUUCUGAAGUUAGGGUCCUGAGAAACGAUGCUUAAGUCUUCUGGAAAGGAGCGCCAUGGAGGGUGAUAGCCCCGUCUAGCAUUGACCUCAUAUAGGAUCUUAACAUGGAGUCGAGUUGUUUGGGAAUGCAGCUCAAAUGGGUGGUAUGCUCCAUCUAAAGCUAAAUAUCUGCGAGAGACCGAUAGUAAACAAGUACUGUGAGGGAAAGAUGAAAAGAACUUUGAAAAGAGAGUGAAAAAGUACGUGAAAUUGUUGAAAUGGAAGGGUAGGCCGCUAACCAUGUAGAGCCGUGUUUGGGGGGAAGAUAAAUGCUGUAGAAUGUAGCUCCUCGGAGUAUUAUAGAUGCAGUUCAUAUUCCCACCCGAGCGCGAGGAUCUCAGGUUCUACUAAAUGGUGGUCUACCACCCGUCUGNAAAA
rnacentral:rRNA from 1 species